GACGAACGCUGGCGGCGUGCUUAACACAUGCAAGUCGAACGGAAAGGCCCUUCUUUUGUGGGGUGCUCGAGUGGCGAACGGGUGAGUAACACGUGAGUAACCUGCCCUUUACUUUGGGAUAACUUCAGGAAACUGGGGCUAAUACCGGAUAGGAGCUCCUGCUGCAUGGUGGGGGUUGGAAAGUUUCGGCGGUUGGGGAUGGACUCGCGGCUUAUCAGCUUGUUGGUGGGGUAGUGGCUUACCAAGGCUUUGACGGGUAGCCGGCCUGAGAGGGUGACCGGACACAUUGGGACUGAGAUACGGCCCAGACUCCUACGGGAGGCAGCAGUGGGGAAUAUUGCACAAUGGGCGGAAGCCUGAUGCAGCAACGCCGCGUGCGGGAUGACGGCCUUCGGGUUGUAAACCGCUUUCGCAUGUGACGAAGCGUGAGUGACGGUAAUGGGUAAAGAAGCACCGGCUAACUACGUG
rnacentral:rRNA from 1 species